rnacentral:lncRNA from 1 species
CCUGAGGCGGCGGCGGAGCGGGACGCUAGGGAAAAGCUGGCUCUCUGGGAUCGGAGACCGGACACGACGGCGCCGCUGACCGACAGGCAGACGGACUCGGUAUUGGAGCUGAAGGCGGCGGCAGAGAACUUGCCGGUGCCAGCUGAGGAUAUGGUACCGGAAGUGGAUCUGAAAUCAAUGAAGGCGCAGGUGGAAAUUUCUUUGGCUCAGCUAUCAAACUCUUUUAUACCCUGGAUAAUAAAAGUUGUUUGCUCU